CCUACGGGUGGCAGCAGUGAGGAAUAUUGGUCAAUGGACGAGAGUCUGAACCAGCCAAGUAGCGUGAAGGAUGACUGCCCUAUGGGUUGUAAACUUCUUUUAUAUGGGAAUAAAAUGUUGCACGUGUGGCAUUUUGUAUGUACCAUAUGAAUAAGGAUCGGCUUACUCCGUGCCAGCAGCCGCGGUAAUACGGAGGAUCCGAGCGUUAUCCGGAUUUAUUGGGUUUAAAGGGAGCGUAGGUGGGUUGUUAAGUCAGUUGUGAAAGUUUGCGGCUCAACCGUAAAAUUGCAGUUGAAACUGGCAGUCUUGAGUACAGUUGAGGUGGGCGGAAUUCGUGGUGUAGCGGUGAAAUGCUUAGAUAUCACGAAGAACUCCGAUUGCGAAGGCAGCUCACUGGACUGCAACUGACACUGAGGCUCGAAAGUGUGGGUAUCAAACAGGAUUAGAUACCCUUGUAGUC
rnacentral:rRNA from 1 species